UGAAAGAUGAACCUGAGCCGCAGACUCGUC
rnacentral:piRNA from 1 species